CACACGUUUUCUCAUGCGAAUGAGGUUAACACCAGAUUGUUCCAAAAUGUUGAUUUCAACGUCCUCUGGAUAUCUCUUAAUUUUGCAUGAUCUUGACUUAACUAAGUCUUUAGAAGUAGGCAGCUAUCCCAUUUUAAGAGCAAGAAGAACUACUUCAAGUUCAGGAGUUUCACCACGAAAUAGUCUUGAAGUCGUAACCCCUGAAGUUCUUGGUGAGAGUGACCAUGGAAACUGCAUCACGUCCUUACAGCUGCACCCAAAAGGCUGGGCCACUCUUCUUCGGUGCUCAAGCAACAGUGAUGAUGAGGAGUGUACUUGUGUCUAUGAAUUCCAAGAAGGAGCUCCAGUGCGACCUGUCUCACCUCGCUGUUCUCUACGACUGACUCAUUACAUUGAAGAAGCCAAUGUAGGCAGGGGUUACAUCAAAGAACUUUGCUUCAGCCCCGAUGGACGAAUGAUUUCUUCCCCACAUGGCUAUGGGAUUCGCUUGUUGGGAUUUGACAAACAGUGCAGUGAACUUGUUGACUGCUUGCCCAAAGAAGCCAGUCCCCUGCGGGUGAUCCGUUCUCUGUACUCUCAUAAUGAUGUGGUACUGACAACAAAGUUCUCUCCAACACAUUGUCAGAUUGCCUCAGGGUGCCUUAGUGGACGGGUUUCUUUGUAUCAGCCAAAGUUUUAGGCACAACUUACAUCAAAUAAGGAACUCUUCUGGUGUUUGACUUAGGAAUUGCUUCAAUUUAGAUGAAGUAUUUUCUUUUUAGAAGAUCUUAUAAGUUUGGGUCAAGAUCCUGGUUCUUAUGGGUCCAUGAACACACUUGUGACCUUAGUACUUGGUCAUCCAGCAUCAUACAGGCAUCUCCAAGUUAGACUCUAUGCAGCAUCAUCUUUUUCAGCAUUCCUCUGCUCCUGCUGAUCUGUGCCACUGAACUCCAGUUCUUCUGGUCAUUUUGCAUGGUAGCUCUUGUCAAGUUCCUUCCUUCCUCACUCUCUAUUUCUCUUUCCCUCUCCCUGACCCUCUCUUUCUUUGUGUUUUUUGAUUUUGGUGUCAAUUUUGUGGACAUUUGGCAGGAGUUUUGACUGGGGUAGGAGAAACCCAUGACAUUAGAAUUGAAUAAAACCUAGAAGUUGGAUAUUGGCAUAUUGGUUGUUGAAAAAUAAAUUUCAUCCUCACUUAUGAGUAUACUUGGCCUUUUAAAGUUACUGUUAUGUUUAUCUAUAUUGAGCACAGAUAAUGGCAUUAUUCUUAUAAUUGUUAAGAUAGUCUUGCAACAAAAUGUCUUUUAAGUUUCCUGUUAAAAUUAUAAAAAGAUUUUCAUGGUGAGAGGGAUUUUAUUGUGAAAUUCUAGAAAAAAAUAUUACCACCUCUCUUUGUAAUUUACUUUACUUGUAUGAAUUUAACAUCUCUAGCAUGUAUCCUUACUUGAUAUUUUGUUCCUAUCAACAGCAUUAGAAAGGAAAGGAGACAGAAUGAGCUUUAGUUAUUUCUAUUGCACAGAAAAGGAUUUUUAAAAUUAGAUUAGUAUAAUAUCUGGCCAUAGAGUGAUAAGAACAAUAUGACUUAGAUUUUCUGUAUUUUAUCUGCCAGAUUAUUUGAAUCACACAGGAUGAUGUGUUAACAGUAUUAGGGUGGAAGAGGAAUCAAGAGUAAAGAGGUAGGGGUUUACUCAUUUUUCUUCCCUGAGCCAGGUGUGACAAGCCAACUCUGUCACCAUUCGUGAGGGGAGAGUUGCAGUCCUCUUCAAGCUGUUAUCAUAAGUACAGUAGUCAGUUACUUGGAUAUCAAGACUAAGUGCUGAUUUGAAGACUUGCCUUUGUGUUUUGUUAUGAAACAUGCAAGCAUAAAGCAGGACUCAAGCACAAGGCUGACUGUUCUACUUUGAAUAACAGCUUCCUUACAGUCUCCUCCACAUGGGUGGCACUGUGUUUAGAAGGGAUUACCAAAGGCUGGAGCAAUUUAAGCUAUGCACUAGCCUUGCCCUCUUAGGUUGCAUUCUCUUUAGGCCACUGGUUCUCAAACAUUAGGGUGCACUGUAACCAUUACAGAGCUUGUGAAAAGUGCAGAAACCUGAGCCUCACCUUAUGAGAUUCUGAUUCAGCCAGGGGGAGGACAGGAAUCUGUAUUUUUCAUAGCAACCUCAAGUAAUCUUUAUUCUGAGGGUCUCUGGAUUGCAGGUUGAAAAACACAACCUUAAUCAGCAGUAAAUUCUUCUCUACUCGGCCAGGCGCAGUGGCUCACGCCUGUAAUCCCAGCACUUUGGGAGGCCGAGGUGGGUGGAUCACAAAGUCAGGAGUUCGAGACCAGCCUGACCAACAUGGUGAAACCUCAUCUCUACUAAAAAUACAAAAAUUAGCCGGGCGUGGUGGUGCUUGCCUGUAAUCCCAGCUACCCAGGAGGCUGAGGCAAGAGAAUCACUUGAACCCGGGAGGCAGAGGGUGCAGUGAGCCGAGAUUGCACCACUGCACUCCAGCCUAGGCGACAGAGCGAGACUCCGUCUC
rnacentral:sRNA from 1 species